rnacentral:rRNA from 1 species
AGUGAACGCUGGCGGUAGGCCUAACGCAUGCAAGUCGAACGGCAGCACAGUAAGCGCUUGCUCUUACGGUUGGCGAGUGGCGGACGGGUGAGGCAUACAUCGGAAUCUACUUUUUCGUGGGGGAUAACGUAGGGAAACUUACGCUAAUACCGCAUACGACCUACGGGUUAAAGCAGUGGAUCUUCGGACCUUUGGCGAUUGAAUGAGCCGAUGUCUGAUUAGCUAGUUGGCGGGGUAAAGGCCCACCAAGGCGACGAUCCGUAGCUGGUCUGAGAGGAUGAUCAGCCACACUGGAACUGAGACACGGUCCAGACUCCUACGGGAGGCAGCAGUGGGGAAUAUUGGACAAUGGGCGAAAGCCUGAUCGAGCAAUACCGCGUGAGUGAAGAAGGUCUUCGGGUUGUAAAGCUCUUUUGUUGGGAAAGAAAAGCAGUAGAAGAAAACACGGAUGUUCUGACGGUACCCAAAGAAUAAGCACCGGCUAACUUCGUG